rnacentral:rRNA from 1 species
UACGUAGGGUGCGAGCGUUAAUCGGAAUUACUGGGCGUAAAGCGUGCGCAGGCGGUUGUGCAAGACAGAUGUGAAAUCCCCGGGCUCAACCUGGGAACUGCAUUUGUGACUGCACGGCUGGAGUGCGGCAGAGGGGGAUGGAAUUCCGCGUGUAGCAGUGAAAUGCGUAGAUAUGCGGAGGAACACCGAUGGCGAAGGCAAUCCCCUGGGCCUGCACUGACGCUCAUGCACGAAAGCGUCGGGAGCAAACAGG